rnacentral:miRNA from 1 species
AUUUAGGAACAUGAUUCUCAGA